GGGGCUGCUUUGGUUUCGACAGGGCUAUUUUUUGAUUAAUGGUUAAUCAAUAACACCAAAAUAUAAUUGGCAACAACAUUCUUCCUUUUUCUCGCCAAGCAACUGCCGUUGCCUAAUCGCGAAUAUCACUUUAUCCCCUAAAGGGAAAAAAACUCAUCUCGAUGAUCGACGAUCAUUGCUAUUCUUAUCUAAUCCCUGCUAAUUGGGUCAAUUUAGCUACAGAAUUGUGAAAAAAGUCAUAAAUCAAUGUUCUGGACGUGGGUUCGAUUCCCACCAGCUCCA
rnacentral:tmRNA from 1 species